UACGGAGGGUGCGAGCGUGUCCGGAAUCACUGGGCGUAAAGGGCGCGUAGGCGGCUUGGGAAGUCUGUGGUGAAAGCUCGUGGCUCAACUGCGAGUCGGCCAUAGAUACUCCUAAGCUCGAGUCGACUAGAGGCAGAUGGAAUUCCGGGGUGUAGCGGUGGAAUGCGUAGAGAUCCGGAAGAACACCGGUGGCGAAGGCGGUCUGCUGGGGUCGAACUGACGCUGAGGCGCGACAGCGUGGGGAGCAAACAGG
rnacentral:rRNA from 1 species